rnacentral:rRNA from 1 species
AGAUUGAACGCUGGCGGCAUGCCUUACACAUGCAAGUCGAACGGCAGCACGGGGGCAACCCUGGUGGCGAGUGGCGAACGGGUGAGUAUGCAUCGGAACGUGCCCAGUAGUGGGGGAUAACUAGUCGAAAGAUUAGCUAAUACCGCAUACGACCUAUGGGUGAAAGCGGGGGAUUCGGCAAGGAACCUCGCGCUAUCGGAGCGGCCAUGUCUGAUUAGCUUAGUUGGACGGGUAAAGCCCACCAAGGCUUCGAUCAGUAGUCUGGUCUGAGAGGACCGACCGAGCCACACGUAGGGACUGAGACACCGGCCCAGACCUACCGUACGGGAGCAGCAGGUGGGGAAUUUAGGACAAGUCGGGC